UUUCGGGCAUAGUGGCGCACGGGUGCGUAACGCGUGGGAAUCUGCCCCUUGGUUCGGAAUAACUCAGAGAAAUUUGAGCUAAUACCGGAUGACGACGUAAGUCCAAAGAUUUAUCGCCGAGGGAUGAGCCCGCGUAGGAUUAGCUAGUUGGUGGGGUAAAGGCCUACCAAGGCGACGAUCCUUAGCUGGUCUGAGAGGAUGAUCAGCCACACUGGGACUGAGACACGGCCCAGACUCCUACGGGAGGCAGCAGUGGGGAAUAUUGGACAAUGGGCGAAAGCCUGAUCCAGCAAUGCCGCGUGAGUGAUGAAGGCCUUAGGGUUGUAAAGCUCUUUUACCCGGGAUGAUAAUGACAGUACCGGGAGAAUAAGCUCCGGCUAACUCCGUGCCAGCAGCCGCGGUAAUACGGAGGGAGCUAGCGUUGUUCGGAAUUACUGGGCGUAAAGCGCACGUAGGCGGCUUUGUAAGUUAGAGGUGAAAGCCUGGAGCUCAACUCCAGAACUGCCUUUGAUACUGCAUGGCUUGAAUCCAAGAGAGGUGAGUGGAAUUCCGAGUGUAGAGGUGAAAUUCGUAGAUAUUCGGAAGAACACCAGUGGCGAAGGCGGCUCACUGGCUUGGUAUUGACGCUGAGGUGCGAAAGCGUGGGGGGCAAACAGGAUUAGAUACCCUGGUAGUCCACGCCGUAAACGAUGAUAACUAGCUGUCGGGGCGCUUGGUGUUUCGGUGGCGCAGCU
rnacentral:rRNA from 1 species